rnacentral:rRNA from 1 species
UCGGUGAAAUCAUAGUACCUGUGAAGAUGCAGGUUACCCGCGACAGGACGGAAAGACCCCGUGGAGCUUUACUGUAGUCUGAUAUUGAAAUUCGGCACAGCUUGUACAGGAUAGGUAGGAGCCUGAGAUACGUGAGCGCUAGCUUACGUGGAGGCGUUGGUGGGAUACUACCCUCGCUGUGUUGGAUUUCUAACCCGCACCAUUUAUCAUGGUGGGAGACAGUGUCAGAUGGGCAGUUUGACUGGGGCGGUCGCCUCCUAAAGAGUAACGGAGGCGCUCAAAGGUUUCCUCAGAAUGGUUGGAAAUCAUUCAUAGAGUGUAAAGGCAUAAGGAAGCUUGACUGCGAGACUUACAAGUCGAGCAGGGUCGAAAGACGGACUUAGUGAUCCGGUGGUUCCGCAUGGAAGGGCCAUCGCUCAACGGAUAA